AUGCCUACCGAGGUUGGUAAAUCCCCUACUAGUAUCUUCAAGUUCUUGCCAGAUAGACCUUGGCGAUGUGUCCAUGGAUGGUCUGAUCGACCGGUCUCGAGAGCAGGGAAAGAAACACUUCUGAAAUCUAUCAUUCAGGCGAUCCCUACUUUCAUCAUGAGCUGCUUUGAACUUCCUAAGGCUAUCUGCAGAAUGUUCAGACAAAUUAUUGCCGAUGAGUGGUGGGGCAAAGAGGAAGGGAAAAAGAAGAUACACUGGAGAUCAUGGGGCUGGCUCUCAACUCCCAAGUUGUUUGGCAGGAUAGGUUUUCGG
rnacentral:rRNA from 1 species